GGAAAGAGGCUCUCUCUUCCUCACGCUUUUUACAAUUUCGUCCGUUGAUUUAUCUGAAGCGUGUAUCUCACACAAGUAUCCACGAGAAUGGGAUAAUAAAGCAUCUUGUCGUUGCUGGAGCUACGUGGAGAUGGGCCUUGAUGGCUUAGAUUCCUUGUCCUUUCUGUUUAAAAGUAUUUUAGUUCAUUUGGAUUUUUAAUUUGUACGUCAGAUGCGUCCUUAUGCUGAAAAAUGUUUGCGAAAAGCUAAUCAAAAGUAUUAGAGAAAUUAAUCCCUAUUAAGCAAUAAAGCAAACCAUAUAUGUAACCCAUCCUCUUGCGAGA